GGCGAGUCGAGCGGUCUCUACUGAUGAGGCUACGGAAUUAGCCGAAACUGACC
rnacentral:hammerhead_ribozyme from 15 species